GACGAACGCUGGCGGCGUGCUUAACACAUGCCAGUCGAACGGAAAGGCCCUGCUUUUGUGGGGUGCUCGAGUGGCGAACGUGUGAGUAACACGUGAGUAACCUGCCCUUGACUUUGGGAUAACUUCAGGAAACUGGGGCUAAUACCGGAUAGGAGCUCCUGCUGCAUGGUGGGGGUUGGAAAGUUUCGGCGGUUGGGGAUGGACUCGCGGCUUAUCAGCUUGUUGGUGGGGUAGUGGCUUACCAAGGCUUUGACGGGUAGCCGGCCUGAGAGGGUGACCGGCCACAUUGGGACUGAGAUACGGCCCAGACUCCUACGGGAGGCAGCAGUGGGGAAUAUUGCACAAUGGGCGGAAGCCUGAUGCAGCAACGCCGCGUGCGGGAUGACGGCCUUCGGGUUGUAAACCGCUUUCGCCUGUGACGAAGCGUGAGUGACGGUAAUGGGUAAAGAAGCACCGGCUAACUACGUG
rnacentral:rRNA from 1 species